rnacentral:rRNA from 1 species
GGGGGAAAGAUUUAUCGGUAAAGGAUCGGCCCGCGUUAGAUUAGAUAGUUGGUGGGGUAAUGGCCUACCAAGUCUACGAUCUAUAGCUGGUUUUAGAGGAUGAUCAGCCACACUGGGACUGAGACACGGCCCAGACUCCUACGGGAGGCAGCAGUGGGGAAUCUUAGACAAUGGGCGCAAGCCUGAUCUAGCCAUGCCGCGUGUGUGAUGAAGGCCUAGG